UUCACUUUGAUCCGUAUGUAUAUUUUCGUAUACGUAUUUGCUGACUUGGCCAAGUCAACUGCCGUCAGCUAGGCUUUGACCACCAUUUGAUCGAGCCUGGGUUAAUACUACUGCAUCCGGGUAUUUUUUGCAAAAUUGCCAAGACCUGGUCGGACCGACCGCGCACCUGGUCGGCCUGCUCCCUUAUCCCCUCGCUCUCCUCUUCCUCUCCUCCGAACCUAGCCCAACUCCCGUCCCCAGGGGGGCGACCGGGAGACGCGCCGCGCCCACCCAGGCUGGCAGCCGGGCCUCUCAUCCACACACACACACCCAGCCCGGCGACCGGGAGAUUAUCUUUCUUCCCCGUACGAAUCCGCAACGGUGGCUAGUUGGCGCCGGAGACGGGGGUCGGGAGUCGCCGGCGAGCAGUAAUCUAAUCUAAUUGGUGCUUAUCAGGUGAGUGGGGGAAUCUGCAGGCAGAGGUGGGCGGCGGCGAGGCGAGGGAUGUUGACAGCAGAGGAGGGAGGUGAUUUGGGAGGCCCUAAUCGAAUCGAAGCUGGAGCCGGGAGGAAUCGAGAGGGGAGGCGCCGGAAUCGAAAAUCCCGUGGCUCUGACCUGUACCGCCUGAGCGGAGAGGGAGAGGAGGAGAUGGACCGCCGUCGUGGAGGUUGUGGGCAUCGACGGAAAAAGGAAAGAUUUGGCCUUUGUUUGAUUGUGCUGCCUCGAUGGAAGUUGCAGUUUGGUGGUGGAAAGGAAGUAGAGUAGUUGGUGGCGGCGGUGACCGGCGAUUUAGGAGACGACCCGGUAAAGGCCGCAGCAGGGAAAGAAAGAGGUGACUUUGUCUUUUCGUUGGUGAUUCUGCCGUCGCCGUCGCCGUCGCCGGCGUUGAGGUUGCAGUUUGAAUGUGGUUGAAAGGAAGCAGGACGAGGCGGCCGUAGCCAUGCUGGGUCUGGAAGACCGGCCGGCCGGCGGGCACAAGUCCGUAUUUUGCGCGCGCGCGAGAGAGAGAUUUGUUUUUGUUUGUUUGCGAGAAUAUUUGAAUAGAGAGAUAUCGCGAUGCCGGUUUGAUGUUUGGCUUGCGCGGGCGACACGUAUGCUGGCUCGCUGGCUAGUCGUGUCGUGCUUGACUUGACUGCCGAGCCGUUCGAAUCGCCGGUUUCACCUUCUUCUUCUUCUUGUAUGUAAGACAAUAUUGUACUAGUAUAUACUAGUAAUAAGAAGCACCUUUAUUUAUUUAUGAAAAAGUCUAAAAUAAAUCUUAAAUUUAUAGGCGAAAGCUAAAUCAAACCCUGAACUUUCAAUCCCGGAAAUCAGCAAACCGAACUCUUCGAUCCCGGUCUAUUUUAAACAUUGAGGGCUUUUAGGUGGUAUUCGCUGACGUGGCAAAGAUUGUUGACUGGCUAGCUGGACAUUAGGAUGAAAUGGGCCAGCUCAUUAGUGCAGCGCCCAUACAGUCUGCUUUAUCUUUUUUUUCGUUUUUCUUGUUGUUUUCUUCAUUGUACAUUUUUCGUAAUAAUAAUAAAUUAUUUUACAUUUUCGUAAUGCCAAUAAAUACUUUUUUUAAAUUACACGAACCCACUUCUCUUCACUUAGGAGUGACAAAAAAUAUUAGCAUCAAACAGUGUGCUUGAGACGCCUCGCGGUCGCACCUUGCCAAUAGAUAUGAAGGAUGCUGACUAUAAUCGUUUGCCUACAAAAUAUUGAUUAUAUAUCGGGCGACACACUCACAUAUAAGAACAGACAGGAGCGUUCCUAGAUGAAACAUUUUUAAAGAACUUUUGAAACAUUUCUUGAGAAAAAUGUGAACAAUUUUGAAAUAGGUAAUAUUUUUUAAAAUGCAAAUAAUUUAUGAAAUUCCAAAAAAAAAAUUGAAAAAUUUGACACGGUAACAUUUUUCCAUAUACACUUUUACAUUUUGUAAAGCUAUACAACAUUCUUUUACAUUGUAAAGAUUUUUUAAAUUUUGUUCAGGUUAAAAUAUAUGUUCACAAUAUUUUUCAAAAACUGUUAUGUUUCAACAGUGUUCACUUUUCCAAAAUUGAUUGUGUUCGCAAAAAUAUUGUUCGUUUGUUAAAAAAGUAUUCAGAAUUUUCAAAAGUGUUCGCACUUUUGAAAAAAAAAAUCGGAGAUUUCGAACAUUGUAGGGCCUUCACGUCUUCAAUUGUUGUUUGCCCUUAACCAAAUAUUUUCAAAUCUCAACGCAGGGGUUAAAUUAUCCCGGCGUCUUCUUUGUAGCAGUGCCAUCCAAUGCUUCUUGUGGCUACAAGGACGAGAUCCUCACGGUGUAGCGGCUAGACGACAAUCGCCGUGUGAGGGCACUCCUCAUGCUCUGACCACCAGUUCGCUUACCUCGCUGAUCUUACUCCCCUUCGACGCCUCUCAGGGCGAUGGGAUGUGGCCGAGCCAGCGCAGCCAAAUCAACCUAUAAACGCGACAUCGCUCUGCUCCGGGCUCUCCUCAUGCUGGUGGCCUCUGAGGCGCAGGAAGCGGCCAUCCCCGCCGCCGCCACAGAUCUGGACAAGGAGUUCGGGUUCCAGCUGGAGGAGCUUUGUAAGGAGAAGCUCGCGGGAUGAAUGGGCGCCGUGUUCCUCUGCUAGAAGAGCUCUGAGGAGUGGCCGUCCCAUGUUGAGGAGUGGCCCAGUGUUUUCUGAUUGUCUUAUUUGAUGUGGUGAUUUGUUCGUAUCCCCUUCUCUCCUCUCGGCAGGAGCGCAGUUGGCGAAGCAGUACUUAAGGCAACCCCAUGUCUUCCGAAUUGAGAAGCAGCCCUAGCGAGUCUUGUGUACUUCCAUUCAUAUGUUCCUCUUAUGUGUUUAAAUUCUUCAUUUUCUUCCUUCUCCAGUAUGUAUAUUCAGUAUGUGCCACGUGCUAGAUGAAUGUUGAAGGCAUGCCCAGUUGAACUGUCUGUCAUGCCAUUUUAUUUUCGAUCAGUACCAGCCUGUAUGUUGAUUCUCGGGCUCUCAAAAAGAUACUGUAUUGGGUUCUUUGAGCUACAUAUCCGUGGCUAAAGG